GGCAGUGGCUGCUUCUCUCCUCUCGAAAGGAUCCCUUCCUGACUUUAUCCAAGUCCAUCCUGGGCCUUGGAGACUCCCAGCUGGUGGCUAUGGACGGUGGAAGAGCCCGGGAUGGAGGGGACCUCGUGGGUGAAGCUGAGGCCUGCCACGUGAAGGACCAUCUUCUGCAAGAUGAAUGGAAUAGGCUGGACCUGCCUCUUAAUGCAUGGGGCUGCUAAACCAACUAGUUUCAGGUGCUGAUCAUGACUGGCCCCCAGCAAUUGUGACUUUCUUUGAUGGACUACAAUUGGUUUAGACUUUUCAUCAGCUUUGUGAAGGGGACAGAGCCGGGAGUAUGGAGAAUGGAGCCCUCUUUGAGAUGUCAUAGUCACUUCUUGGACUUCAGAACCUCAAAAUGAUAUUUAAUAAACCUAAUUUUUCAAAAAUA